CAGGGGGAUAAAUGAUUAUUCAAAUGUAAUAAAUCUAAGAGAAAAUGACACCCGAACAUCUGACUUUAUAAUAGAUUAUUUCAACAUACCAAAAUACAAACGAACAAAACAAAAUGAGGGGAUAUUAACACAAUGGACAGCAGCCUUCAAAGAACAAAUGGAAAUGACAACAAAAAAAAAAGACUCUACAGCUUGUUGUUGGAAAUUUGAAAAUUAUUUUCAUAGAAGUGCAAAAAGUGCGAGUGUGGGAGCAAUCUGGCGCGCUGACUGUACAAAAGGAGCGACGUAGCACAGACAAGACAGAGAGACUGGUUCUUCACUUAAUAGCUGCCACAGAGCCUGCUGGAGAAAGCUGGGAGCUUCAUUAAGCCUUUAAACCCUGCAGAGACGUUUUAAGUCAUCACGCCACUGGCUGCUGCAUCCUCAGACAUUCCCAGAGGCAACAAGGCAAAUAUGGAGUUCACAGCUGAGAUUUCAGAACGAUCUGCACAACUGACCAGGCAUUACAAGAGACUCCUCUGUGGGCAGUUCUGAAAGGAUCCCUCAUCGGCCUGCCAAAGAGGACAGCGGCCCUUUGAUCUAGUCGUCCUUCUAUACAUGUGUGUGCAUGAGUGUGUGUAUGAGGGGCAAAGUGUGUUUUCUCAUCUGGCCUCUGCAGAAUUGGUUCACUCGAAGCAUGCCCUGACCUCUUCCAAGUCAAACCGAUCUUUGCAUUGUCCAGACAAUUUGGCAUAAUGCACCAUGGCAACUGUUCCAUUUAACAGGCUCUUUAUAUCUUAGUACUCCAAGCCUAAUCAUGCGGAGUACCUCAUGUGUCACUCAUAUUAGCACCACAACAAAGCAUACUGCCUUUCUAUUAAAUGUAUUUGUGUACCAAUAAAAUUUGCAUUACACUGUUGUUCAGCAACUAGCUAAUUAUGCAUGGUUUGUAUGUUGGACUUCUUGUAUCAAAGGUCGCUCAGAGUGAACGGCCAUGCAGAGAGAGAAAAAAAAAAGGCCUCUGGAGUGACAGGGGACCGGCCUUGCUGUCAGCCGAGGUCAGUCGUAUUUUCCCCUAUCUGUUUUGAACAACCAUUCAAAACAAGCUCAACAUGUGUCUGCACACUAUCACCCUCAUGCAUCCCCGCCUCCAAAAUCCCCUUCCUCCACUUCCUGCUCAGCAGACGUGCCUAACAUUCUAGAGAAGCCAGCGUACAUUCCUCACAUGCUUCAGCUGCAUAAAGAAAUGGUCAAGGAGCCAACAGACAUGUCAUAAGGGCAUCAGUCCUUCUUUCUCAAAGCAGGACAAGCUUGUGUGCCUGAGAGUCCUAGUCAUUGUCCUUUCACAUAUGUGCUUGGGAGUUAGGUCACUUGCAGAAUGAGCAGCCUGGGUUUUGAGUGGUGCUGUCGAGGGUAGGAGAGCUGGAGGCUAUCUCAAGUGACCGCUGUUGAGCUGUCUCACAUGGGAUGUAGAGUUACCUUAAGAGCAUCAAGGCAUCUUUGGCCCACUGCAUCGUUUUAUCUCCCUACACAGGCUCAUGUAUGCUUCAUCUGAGACAUUUUUUUUUAAUGCACAUCCCAGUUAACUUCCAUGAAUUUUUAUACAGCCAAUCAUAUAAUGUCAUCCUAAUU